rnacentral:rRNA from 1 species
GUCAGGAUGAACGCUGGCGGCGUGCCUAACACAUGCAAGUCGAGCGAUUCUCUUCGGAGAAGAGCGGCGGACGGGUGAGUAACGCGUGGGUAACCUGCCUCAUACACAUGGAUAACAUACCGAAAGGUAUGCUAAUACAGGAUAAUAUAAGAGAUUCACAUGGAUUUCUUAUCAAAGCUCCGGCGGUAUGAGAUGGACCCGCGUCUGAUUAGCUAGUUGGUAAGGUAACGGCUUACCAAGGCGACGAUCAGUAGCCGACCUGAGAGGGUGAUCGGCCACAUUGGAACUGAGACACGGUCCAAACUCCUACGGGAGGCAGCAGUGGGGAAUAUUGCACAAUGGGCGAAAGCCUGAUGCCAGCAACGCCGCGUGAGUGAUGAAGGCCUUCGGGUCGUAAAACUCUGUCCUCAAGGAAGAUAAUGACGGUACUUGAGGAGGAAGCCCCGGCUAACUACGUGCCAGCAGCCGC